UUAGACGAGAGCGUUUGAUUCCAUUAUUUUAUUUCAAAUAAAGAUACAUUCAACCUUAACUAAUAUAAUACAAGUUCAGAAACUAACCUAAGUCGAAUAAUCUAAUUACCUUAAGUAUAAAUAGCAUAAAUCUCGGUUUUACAAUGAAAUCACCCAACAACGUUACAAUACAUACGUCAUACAAUUAAUAAUUAUGUUUGAGUUUAGGAAUUGACACGCAAGUG